rnacentral:rRNA from 1 species
AAAUUAUUAUAUGAUAUAUCGGGUGUAGAACUAGGCCAACACUUCUAUUGGAAAAUAGGAGGUUUACAAAUUCAUGCCCAAGUACUCAUCACAUCUUGGGUCAUAAUUACUAUCUUGCUAGGUUCAGUUGUCAUAGCUGUUCGGAAUCCACAAACCAUCCCGAUCGACAGUCAAUUUUUUUAAUAUGUCCUUGAGUUUAUUCGAGACUUGACCAAAACUAAGAUUGGAAAAGAAUACGGUCCCUAGGUUCCUUUUAUUAGAACUAUGUUCCUUUUUAUUUUUGUUUCGAAUUGGUCGGGUGCUCUUUUACCUUGGAAAAUAUAGAGUUACCCUAUGGGGAAUUAG